rnacentral:pre_miRNA from 1 species
CUUUAACCAUUCGUCUUAUUUAAAAAAAUUAUGAUUAAUACUUUAUUAGAUGAUAAAACAUCAAUAAUAUUUUACGCGUGAUAAUCUUUUUUGAAUUUUAUAAAACUUUUAAAUAAGACGGAUGGUCAAAG